rnacentral:lncRNA from 1 species
GGAGGGGCGUCUUCUCUUCCCGCGUCCGGAACCCCGCGUCCCGAGUUCCCCGUGGUUCUCUCGCACCCAUCGCUCGGCGGCUUUACGCCACAGGGUGAAUUGCGACCUCACCCUGCUCCCCCUGGCUGGACUCUAGCUUCGCCCAGGCCCCCUCCAGUAUGAGCAUUGAUGCUUCCGUAGCCAGUGUUUUUAGUUGUUUUGUCUUGUGGCUUAGCCGCCCACGGGCCCAGAUGUGGGUGGGAGUGGGGUGGCUGCCGGGCUGGAAGCUGAGGAUUUAGCCAGAGACCCAGCCCAGAGCCCGGCCGGACUUACAGAUUCUCUCCCUCCCCAGCAAUCUACAAACAAAGGAAGGAAAGAGGAGAAAUGCCUAUUAGACUCAGUACCCGGGGUUCACCCACCUCUCCCAUUGGGAUGUCUAUUGUGCAAAGGAAGGGAAGGGGCCCGUUAAUCCUAGAACCUCAACCUCAGGACUAGGUUCUGAGGUUUUGGGUGUGGUUGCUUUUCCCUCAUCGAGAUCAACAAGGAAGGAGCAGAACUGCUCGGAUUGCUUUGUCAUGCGGAGUCACGAGGAUGGCCAUGUAAACAGUUUUGUUUGCAUAGGCUACCGGCUUCCGUACAGUAAGAAGUCUAGCUACGCUAACAGAUUAAACUUCACUCUGUAAAGGUUUACGAGUUAUUACCAUAUUACUGAAGGAAACGUUAGGAACAUAGCUGGUUUGCCUAGCAUGAACCAAAAGCUCCAGUUUGAUUCCCCAGCCCAAAGUCUGCUUUCUAGAAUAAAGAGCAGGUAGAAUUUUAUUUGAAGUGAAUUGAAAUUCAGAAAAUGUCUCCUUUGCAUAGUAUUUUAUUUUUAUUAGGAAGCAUGAGUCGGACCUUGUUUCAACAAGCAGAGUAUGUCUGAGUCAGACAUUUUGAGGCACAGACUCAGCCAGAGUGCUGAUCUUAUGAUUGAUGCGAUGACUUCAUUGGGGUAAGUUCCAGCAAUUGCCAGACGGGUUAUUGCUUCCUAGUUUGUUUUGUUUUCAAAGUAGAUCGUUUGGUGACUUCAACCCAGUAAUAAUAUUUCAAAAGAAUGGCAUCUGGACAAGAUAGAUUUUUUUUUCCGUAGCAUAGUUUUUGUUGCUUGUGCUGUGUUCACCCCUAGCCCCACCCCUUGGAGACUGGCCAUCACUCUGUAGCCCUGGUUGGCCUGGGA